rnacentral:tRNA from 1 species
AGGGUUGUGGCUCAGUGGUAGAGCACUUUCCUAGCAUGUGAGGGACACUGGGUUCAAUUCUCAGCACCACAU